rnacentral:snoRNA from 1 species
UUCGAAGAUGAAACGGCACUGGGCUCCGACGGCGUCCGACAGACGACCGAUCUUGAUGGAUAUGCCUUUUUUUGCGGCAGGCCUAGAAAACCUCGCCCACUGAGA